AUGAGAUGUGGAACAUCUUCCAGACAGCUUGGCCAGGAACUUUUGAAACAUCUGCUGUUCUCUCUUCUCCCAUCUUCACCUUCCUGUCAUCCAGCCUGUGAUGGGUAUAAUGAUGGGGAAGCAAAAGCGGACCUCUUGCUUCCAGGACUGCAGCCUCUGGAUGAAACAAUGCACAGUCUUGAUAUCAAAAGUCAAGUUUUAUACUCAGAAGACCAUGCCAUUCAGACAUUCUCAGCCUCUUGCAGACAAGUCAAAGGCCACCUGCAAAACUUGACAAUUGGCUGUGUGUUAAGACACGUCAUAAAUCUGCUGAGCUUUGAUAUUUGCAGGACAUAA
rnacentral:lncRNA from 1 species